rnacentral:rRNA from 1 species
GACGAACGCUGGCGGCGUGCUUAACACAUGCAAGUCGAACGGAAAGGCCCUGCUUUUGUGGGGUGCUCGAGUGGCGAACGGGUGAGUAACACGUGAGUAACCUGCCCUUGACUUUGGGAUAACUUCAGGAAACUGGGGCUAAUACCGGAUAGGAGCUCCUGCUGCAUGGUGGGGGUUGGAAAGUUUCGGCGGUUGGGGAUGGACUCGCGGCUUAUCAGCUUGUUGGUGGGGUAGUGGCUUACCAAGGCUUUGACGGGUAGCCGGCCUGAGAGGGUGACCGGCCACAUUGGGACUGAGAUACGGCCCAGACUCCUACGGGAGGCAGCAGUGGGGAAUAUUGCACAAUGGGCGGAAGCCUGAUGCAGCAACGCCGCGUGCGGGAUGACGGCAUUCGGGUUGUAAACCGCUUUCGCCUGUGACGAAGCGUGAGUGACGGUAAUGGGUAAAGAAGCACCGGCUAACUACGU